UACGUAGGGGGCAAGCGUUGUCCGGAAUUAUUGGGCGUAAAGCGCACGUAGGCGGCUUUAUAAGUCGGGGGUGAAAUCCUGGAGCUCAACUCCAGAACUGCCUUCGAUACUGGAGAGCUCGAGUCCGGGAGAGGUGGGUGGAACUGCGAGUGUAGAGGUGAAAUUCGUAGAUAUUCGCAAGAACACCAGUGGCGAAGGCGGCUCACUGGCCCGGUACUGACGCUGAGGUGCGAAAGCGUGGGGAGCAAACAGG
rnacentral:rRNA from 1 species